rnacentral:rRNA from 1 species
GAUCAUGGCUCAGGACGAACGCUGGCGGCGUGCCUAAUACAUGCAAGUAGAACGCACAGUUUAUACCGUAGCUUGCUACACCAUAGACUGUGAGUUGCGAACGGGUGAGUAACGCGUAGGUAACCUGCCUGGUAGCGGGGGAUAACUAUUGGAAACGAUAGCUAAUACCGCAUAAUAUUAAUUAUUGCAUGAUAAUUGAUUGAAAGAUGCAACUGCAUCACUACCAG